AAGCCUGAUGCAGCCAUGCCGCGUGUAUGAAGAAGGCCUUCGGGUUGUAAAGUACUUUCAGUUGUGAGGAAGGGGGUAGCGUUAAUAGCGCUGUCUCUUGACGUUAGCAACAGAAGAAGCACCGGCUAACUCCGUGCCAGCAGCCGCGGUAAUACGGAGGGUGCGAGCGUUAAUCGGAAUUACUGGGCGUAAAGCGCAUGCAGGUGGUUCAUUAAGUCAGAUGUGAAAGCCCGGGGCUCAACCUCGGAACUGCAUUUGAAACUGGUGAACUAGAGUACUGUAGAGGGGGGUAGAAUUUCAGGUGUAGCGGUGAAAUGCGUAGAGAUCUGAAGGAAUACCAGUGGCGAAGGCGGCCCCCUGGACAGAUACUGACACUCAGAUGCGAAAGCGUGGGGAGCAAACAGGAUUAGAUACCCUGGUAGUCCACGCCGUAAACGAUGUCUACUUGGAGGUUGUGGCCUUGAGCCGUGGCUUUCGGAGCUAACGCGUUAAGUAGACCGCCUGGGGAGUACGGUCGCAAGAUUAAAACUCA
rnacentral:rRNA from 1 species